UUAUAUACCGAUAUACCGUAAAUAUACCGUUGGCUCAAUUUUGGCCUCAGGACUACCGGAUCAGUGGGACUCCCAACCGUCUGGCAGCGCUGCGCAGCUGUCAAUUGUUUUGGCGGGCACAAACAAAAUGAGAACAUUAGGUGUGUUGUACAGUGCGGCGCAAUAGGCAGCAACAACAAAACGUAAAUAAAGCGAUACCAAUUAAAUAGGAAUUUUGUUUAAUCAAUCUAAUAACCUGGACCGCAGCUUUCGGCAAAACAUUAAGCAAUAGUUAACUUCUGGGGUCCGCACCUAAGGCCGCGUCCGCGACGCGCUGCCAAGGCGAAUGGCAAGCCAGGCAAAAGCAAAAGCAAAGCAGAGAGCCGAAGGAAAAGAGGAAGCAUCCGAACCAAACAAGCGUUUAUUUUACACUUUGGCGAAUAUAUCGAGUGCGGCAAGCAUGUGCCGUUGAGCAGCAGACAUGGAAUCAAUUGUUUUGCACUCGGAUGUGGCUCGUCUGGUAUUGGGUUACCUGGUGAAUCAGGAUCUGAAAAAAGCCGCUCACACACUGUGCCGCACUUGCGGCAGG
rnacentral:sRNA from 1 species